rnacentral:tRNA from 3 species
GCUAACGUAGCUUAACCAAAAGCAUAACACUGAAGAUGUUAAGAUGGACCCUAGAAAGUCCCGCAAGCA